GGAGCUGUGUUUCUGUCUUUGGUUAUCUAGCUGUAUGAGUGUUAAAUACCUGUCAUAAAGCUAGAUAACCGAAAGUAGAAAU
rnacentral:pre_miRNA from 2 species